UACAGAGGUCUCAAGCGUUGUUCGGAUUCAUUGGGCGUAAAGGGUGCGUAGGCGGCGCGGUAAGUCGGGUGUGAAAUCUCGGAGCUUAACUCCGAAACUGCAUUCGAUACUGCCGUGCUUGAGGACUGGAGAGGAGACUGGAAUUACGGUGUAGCGGUGAAAUGCGUAGAUAUCGUAAGGAAGACCAGUGGCGAAGGCGGGUCUCUGGACAGUUCCUGACGCUGAGGCACGAAGGCCAGGGGAGCAAACGGG
rnacentral:rRNA from 1 species